AAAUUUAGGAUAACACUUAAACCAAUGGCCUUCAAAGCCCUAGACAAGAGCCCAACCCUCUUAAUUUCU
rnacentral:tRNA from 1 species